UGUGUAGGCGGAUUAAUAAGUCAGUGGUGAAAUCCUACAGCUUAACUGUAGAACUGCCAUUGAUACUGUUAACCUUGAGUAUAGUUGAGGUAGGCGGAAUGUGUUGUGUAGCGGUGAAAUGCUUAGAUAUAACACAGAACACCGAUUGCGAAGGCAGCUUACUAAACUAUUACUGACGCUGAGGCACGAAAGCGUGGGGAGCGAACAGGAUUAGAUACCCUGGUAGUC
rnacentral:rRNA from 1 species